CGAAGUUGGAAUUGCUAGUAAUCGUGGAUCAGCAUGCCACGGUGAAUACGUUCCCGGGUCUUGUACACACCGCCCGUCACACCAUGGGAGUCGGUAACACCCGAAGUCAGUAGUCUAACCGCAAGGAGGACGCUGCCGAAGGUGGGAUUGACGACUGGGUGAAGUCGUAACAAGGUAGC
rnacentral:rRNA from 1 species